rnacentral:lncRNA from 1 species
GAGACUGAGAAGAAGAAGAUCAGAGAAAAGUCAGCUCCCCAUGUGGAAAAGCCUCACAGAUGUCCCAAAGGAGGCUUACGGUAUUCAUGUUCAAACUUUGUGCCUUUCAGAAGCAAUUAUAUAGAAGAUGGACAUAACCCAAAAUAACAGGCACAGCACAAAGCAGAAUGCAUGAAAACAAAGCUCAAGAAUUAUGAGAAACAUCAGAUUGACAACCAAGCAAGCACUGAGCAAAGUCACGUGGACAAAAGGACAGAUUAUCCAUAUUUUGGAGCUACUGGAAAAUCAUUCUUCAGUCCCUGAGAGUUUCUAUUAAGAAGCUUGGUUGCAUUCCUGGCCACAGACACCAUCACUGUAAACAUCACCCAUUCAGCUAAUUUUGUGUUCUAAACAUCACCCAUUCAGCUAAUUUUGUGUUCUGACAUUUUCCUGAAUGUCUGUAGAUCUGGACUAUGGAAACUAGAUAAUAUAUAUCCAGCUGGUUCCCUUCCUGGGUCAGUUGCAGGUAAGUAUCCUGACAAUUUAGGGAAAAAACAUGCCUAGUUUUGACAUUUCAUGAUCUUUUGGGACAUAUAGAAAUCAAGGAAUAUGGGAUGAGAAGAAGAAAUAUUUUAGUUUUUAUCAUUUAUAAAGGUUUAGAGGGUGGGGAGGUAAGUAAAAGACCAUGUAAAUAAAAGGCCACAGGGCCAAGACA